rnacentral:rRNA from 1 species
UACGUAGGGUGCGAGCGUUGUCCGGAAUUAUUGCGCGUAAAGAGCUCGUAGGCGGUUUGUUGCGUCGGCUGUGAAAUCCCGAGGCUCAACCUCGGGUCUGCAGUCGAUACGAGCAAACUAGAGUGUUGCAGGGGAGACUGGAAUUCCUGGUGUAGCGGUGAAAUGCGCAGAUAACAGGAGGAACACCGGUGGCGAAGGCGGGUCUCUGGGCAACAACUGACGCUGAGGAGCGAAAGCGUGGGGAGUGAACAGG